AUGAGUGCAGUGAGUGUGGGGAGGCCUUCCUUGAGAGUGCAGCCCUGAUCCACCACUAUGUGAUCCACACUGGGGAGAAGCCCUUUGUGUGCAGUGAAUGUGGCAAAGCCUUCACCCACGGUUCUAUGUUCAUCUUGCACAAAAGGGCCCACACCGGAAAGAAACCCUUUGAGUGCAAAGAGUGCGGGAAAGCCUUCAGCAACAGAGCUGACCUCAUCUGACACUUCAGCAUCUACACUGGGGAGAAACCCUAUGAGUGUGUGGAAUGUGGGAAGGCCUUCAGCUGCAGCUCAUCCCUCAGUCACCAUCAAAGGAUGCACAGUGACAGCACCCCUCUCAGUGUGGCAGAGAAGGAAAGACCAUUCUCAACCACACAUACCUCAGUUACCCUCUGAGAACUCCUGGGGAAAGAUUGCUUGACUGUAACCAGUGAGGGAAAUCUUUUGUCNCAGCCACUGGCCAGAUGGAGCCCAGCACCUCAACCAAGUGAGUGCUUUGCUAAGGUUCCUAGAAGGAGAAAGAAAAUGGGACUCUGGUGAAGAGCAAGCCGGGCAAGAGGAGUGUUCUAAAGGAUCCAAAAUUCCAUUUUUCCUGUGGAAUACCACUGCUGGGGUUGUGUGCUCAGUGAAUGAGGAAAGGGAGUGGUCGGGGAACCCCUAACUCUCUAGUCUCUGAGAUGAGGUCAUCUCUUCCUUCUGUUCAGGAAGCAUUUCACCAUCAAUGACUUUGAAAUCGGGCGUCCUCUGGGCAGGGGGAAAUUUGGGCGUGUGUACCUGGCUCGGCUCAAGGAAAAUCAUUUCAUCGUGGCCCUGAAGGUCCU
rnacentral:lncRNA from 1 species